rnacentral:rRNA from 1 species
GCGCCACAAGUGGGAAUCGUGAUUAUUGGGCCUAAAGCGUCCGUAGCUGGUCUUAUAAAUCUCUUGUGAAAUCGUAGAGCUUAACUUUACGGCGAGCAGGAGACACUAUUUGACUUGGAACCGGGAGGAGUUAGAGGAAUUCUGGGGGGAGCGGUAAAAUGCUAUAAUCCCCGGAAGACCACCUGUCGCGAAGGCGUCUAACUAGAACGGAUUCGACAGUGAGGGACGAAAGCCAGGGGAGCGAACCGGAUUAGAUACCCGAGUAGUCCUGGCCGUAAACGCUGCGAGCUAGGUGUUGCAUAUUCUUCGGGAAUAUGCAGUAUCGAAGCGAAGGCGAUAAGCUCGCCGCCUGGGAAGUAUAGUCGCAAGGCCGAAACUUAAAGGAAUUGGCGGGGGAGCACUACAAGGGGUGCGGCGUGCGGUUUAAUCUAAUUCAACGCAGAAAAUCUCACCAGGAACGACGGCAGAAUGAAAGUCAGGCUAAAGACCUUACUUGACGAGCCGAGAGGUGGUGCAUGGCCGCCGUCAGCUCGUGCUGCAAGGUGUCCUCUUAAGUGAGGUAACGAGCGAGACCUGUGCCUACAAUUACCAUCGACUCCUUUUGGAGGAUCGAGUACAUUGUGGGAACUGCCUUGGAAACAAGGAGGAAGGUGCAGGCUACGGUAGGUCUGUAUGCCCCGAAUUCCCUGGGCUACACGCGCGUAACAAUGGUAGGGACAAUGGGAUACAACUCCGAAAGGAGAAGUUAAUCCUCUAAACCCUAUCUUAGUUCAGAUCGAGGGCUGUAACUCGCCCUCGUGACGAUGGAAUCCCUAGUAAUCGGACGUCAACAUCGUCCGGUGAAUAUGUCCCUGUUCCUUGCACACACCGCCCGUCAAAUCACCCGAGCAGGGUUUGGGUGAGGCUUACUUUUUCGAGUAUUCCGAACCUAAGCUCAGUGAGGUGGGUUAAGUCGUCACAAGGUAACCGUAGGGGAACCUGCGGUUG